rnacentral:rRNA from 1 species
AGGGCACCACCAGGAGUGGAGCCUGCGGCUUAAUUUGACUCAACACGGGAAAUCUCACCAGGCCCGGACACCGGAAGGAUUGACAGAUUGAGAGCUCUUUCUUGAUUCGGUGGGUGGUGGUGCAUGGCCGUUCUUAGUUGGUGGAGCGAUUUGUCUGGUUAAUUCCGAUAACGAACGAGACUCUGACCUACUAACUAGACGUUGGAUCCCUUUGUGGGUCCAUCGCAGCUUCUUAGAGGGACGGGCGGCGUUUAGCCGCACGAGAUUGAGCAAUAACAGGUCUGUGAUGCCCUUAGAUGUUCUGGGCUGCACGCGCGCUACACUGAAAGAAUCAGCGUGUGUUCCCUACCCGAAAGGGUUGGGAAACCCGUUGAACCUCUUUCGUGAUGGGGAUUGGGGAUUGCAAUUAUUCCCCAUGAACGAGGAAUUCCCAGUAGGCGCGAGUCAUAAGCUUGCGUCGAUUACGUCCCUGCCCUUUGUACACACCGCCCGUCGCUACUACCGAUCGAGUGAUUUAGU